AGUGAACGCUGGCGGUAGGCCUAACACAUGCAAGUCGAACGGCAGCACAGUAAGAGCUUGCUCUUACGGGUGGCGAGUGGCGGACGGGUGAGGAAUACAUCGGAAUCUACUUUUUCGUGGGGGAUAACGAAGGGAAACUUACGCUAAUACCGCAUACGACCUACGGGUGAAAGCAGGGGAUCUUCGGACCUUGCGCGAUUGAAUGAGCCGAUGUCGGAUUAGCUAGUUGGCGGGGUAAAGGCCCACCAAGGCGACGAUCCGUAGCUGGUCUGAGAGGAUGAUCAGCCACACUGGAACUGAGACACGGUCCAGACUCCUACGGGAGGCAGCAGUGGGGAAUAUUGGACAAUGGGCGCAAGCCUGAUCCAGCCAUACCGCGUGGGUGAAGAAGGCCUUCGGGUUGUAAAGCCCUUUUGUUGGGAAAGAAAAGCAGCAGGUUAAUACCCCGCUGUUCUGACGGUACACAAAGAAUAAGCACCAGCUAACUUCGUG
rnacentral:rRNA from 1 species